AUCAUAAUGUUGAUAUGUGUAUGUCAACAUCUUACAUACACCCAUGAUUCAAAUGAGGAAAUUCCAGGAUUCUCAAGGAGCAGGAAAAGCAUUAUAGGAGAACUGAUAAAGUCCAGUGCAUUAGCUUACUCUGAUCGACAAUUUGGACAAGGAUUGAACAUUUCUGAUUUUGGAAGAUAGCAGAUAAAAGUUGCAAGGGACGUACGCUAUUUACCAGAACAAAUGUGGAUG